AAAACUCAGGUGGUCAGAGAUGGACAUGCGUUGUAUUAGCUAGUUGGUGAGGUAACGGCUCACCAAGGCGACGAUACAUAGGGGGACUGAGAGGUCAACCCCCCACAUUGGUACUGAGACACGGACCAAACUCCUACGGGAGGCAGCAGUGAGGAAUAUUGGUCAAUGGACGCAAGUCUGAACCAGCCAUGCCGCGUGCAGGAAGACGGCUCUAUGAGUUGUAAACUGCUUUUGUACGAGGGUAAAUCCCGAUACGUGUAUCGGGUUGAAAGUAUCGUACGAAUAAGGAUCGGCUAACUCCGUGCCAGCAGCCGCGGUAAUACGGAGGAUUCAAGCGUUAUCCGGAUUUAUUGGGUUUAAAGGGUGCGUAGGCGGUUCGAUAAGUUAGAGGUGAAAUCCCGGGGCUCAACUCCGGCACUGCCUCUGAUACUGUCGGGCUAGAGUUUAGUUGCGGUAGGCGGAAUGUAUGGUGUAGCGGUGAAAUGCAUAGAGAUCAUACAGAACACCGAUUGCGAAGGCAGCUUACCAAACUACGACUGACGUUGAGGCACGAAAGCGUGGGGAGCAAACAGGAUUAGAUACCCUGGUAGUCCACGCAGUAAACGAUGAUAACUGGUUGUCGGCGAUAAAAUGUCG
rnacentral:rRNA from 1 species